AACAAUCAUAUAUGGCAGUGAUUAGAGCAGUGAUUUAAAU
rnacentral:guide_RNA from 1 species